rnacentral:rRNA from 1 species
GACGAACGCUGGCGGCGUGCUUAACACAUGCAAGUCGAACGGAAAGGCCCUGCUAUUGUGGGGUGCUCGAGUGGCGAACGGGUGAGUAACACGUGAGUAACCUGCCCUUGACUUUGGGAUAACUUCAGGAAACUGGGGCUAAUACCGGAUAGGAGCUCCUGCUGCAUGGUGGGGGUUGGAAAGUCUCGGCGGGUGGGGAUGGACUCGCGGCUUAUCAGCUUGUUGGUGGGGUAGUGGCUUACCAAGGCUUUGACGGGUAGCCGGCCUGAGAGGGUGACCGGCGACAUUGGGACUGAGAUACGGCGCAGUGUGCUACGGGAGGCAGCAGUGGGGAAUAUUGCACAAUGGGCGGAAGCCUGAUGAAGCAACGCCGCGUGUGGGAUGACGGCCUGCGGGUUGUAAACCGCUUUCGCCUGUGACGAAGCGUGAGUGACGGUAAUGGGUAAAGAAGCACCGGCUAACUACGUG